GACCAGGAAACAGAACUUUUCAGAAUGGAGCCGUCCGGUCUGCAGGAGUCCAGGAUGCGCUUAGACAUUGUGAAUUGCGAUCUGCACUGAAAGUCACCGGGGGCAAACACCAUUUUUCAUGCAUCAAAAGCUUUGAUUAAUCAAAAGAUCCUUCGGGUCUAUGCUACCGUAAGUCCAUAACGUUGUCAUUACGACUGAUUUACCUUGAACUUGGCUACCUAGUACAGCAGUAACGGGGGUCGGUGUCGAUGCAAUUAUGUUUUGCUUCUCUUUUGGGUGGCAACCAUAUCCUGAAUCCUAACUUCUGAGAAGCAUAUUGAGUAAAGUCAAGAUACUUGAGAAGUAUCGAAGCACGUUUGCAUGACUUGUACUUGAGAAGCCAGAACGAGUGAAUCAGGGACUUGCAGGAAAUACCGGCUACUCCUCAUUCUAAAGGCCAAGUUUCUAGCCCAGUUUGGGAUCUGAAGAGCUGGUUAGAAGGUGCUUGGACCUUCAGCUGUUCAGCAUUUGGCGAUCCGCGGGACCGGUUGCAAUCCUUACAGUGGCUGAUGUACUUAGGCGGUACAGUACCUACCAAUCUAUCUAUCCAUCCAGCUAGAAACUUUCAUGGUUAAUUUACUCAUAUCUUUUGUCUAUCUUUGAUCUACCGUCUCUAACUUCUAGCAAACCGCGUUUUGUUUUGGAGGAGAAAAACAGGAUAGGGACUAGAAAGAGUGUUAGCGCCAGUUAACCAUGCGAACACACGAACUUUCUCCCUCUUGUUAAUCCAUGACUACAAGUGGGACAAUGGAGAAAAACAAAGAGACACUUGUUAACUUCGAACGCAGCCUACGAGAGCCUAGCUACCAGCACGGUGUGGGCCGCAUCGUGCUCCAUGAGACCGCGCCGCGUGCACCCCUGCCAACAUAAGAGCAUGCACUACGUUCCGACGUGGCGGGUAGCUCUAGCCCACCAAGUCGGAGCCAGCGAGCUAGGUGGGCAUGGACCGUCCCCCCACGGAGGCGUGAGGAUCAUGCAGAGGCAACGAGCUCCUCAUCAGAUGGUGUCAGAUGGAGCAACGUUCGAGAGAAAAACUAUCACCUGGAGAAAGGGAGGCACCAGAGAAAGUUGAGGUCGUCGCCGAGGCCGGUCAUCGCCGUCGCCCCUGACCGUCGGCGCCGAGGCUAGCCACCGCUGCCGCCCCCGAGGCCGCCACCGUCCGGCAGAUCCGCCACCACCAAGGCCGGCCACCGUGGCCGCUCCCGACUCGUCGGCCACCGCCACCGGUCUCCAGAUCCAUGGUCCUCGACGCCGAGCUCCGCCCCCUCCCUCCCCUGCGCCGCCACGCUUCACCGGUGCCUCCUAGAUCCGCGACCGUCGCCAAGACGAGAUCCACGGUUCCCGACGCCGAGCUCUUCCCCUACGCCGCCGAGCUUUGUUGCCAUCGACACGCUGCCCCUGCCUAGCUUCGCCGCUGUGGGCCGCCGUCGCCGCUGAGGGCCGCUGCCGCCGAGAUCAGGCUCAGAUCCGAGAGGGAGAAAGAGAGGAGAGAGAGGGGAGGCAUGGUGGAGUGGUGAGAAAAGAAAAGUGUUUUUUCUAUGGGACCUACCUAAAAUGCCAUUUGUACUGUGAGGUGUGUAGUUUCAUUCUACAUGACAUUUUCUUUUUUCCUAAAACAGGGAUACU